CCGGGGCAAAGCCCAGGCUGGGAGACCCACGCUCCCGUCAGGCCGCGCGGCGCAGCGGCACUGCGCUAUUGAGCUGGCUGGGAGGCGGUCCUAACGGAGCACGGCCCUCCCGCCUCAGUCUCCUUCCUCUCGUCACCUCCAGUCCGACCCCACAUUCCACUUUUCUCCCGGGCCAGGCGUCUGUUCCCGGCACGGCGGCGCUCUGAGUCUGCAAAGCGCCGGUGAGCGAGCCGCCCGGAGCCAAGGGCUCGCCAUGCGCCGACCACGGCGCUGCGUCACUCGCCGCUCGGGGCCGCGGGACCUUGUGGGUGCUGAAUAUUCGCAUUCUUGCUCGGAGUGUGGGAGGUGCGGCUCCCCGGCCCUGGACGCCGGCCGUGCGUGGAAGGGAGGAGCUCGAGGCCGACAGGACCUGCCUCGUCCCCUCCGGCCAGCAAGAGCUGACAGCCACCCUCAACAGAAAUUGCUUGUGGGGAGUAGCCUCCGGGCGGGGCAGCAGUGCAGUGUUAGUGUGGCACUGCUGUGCUGAAAUGGGGCCACAGAUUGCUCUGGCUGGGACAUUGGCCAAGGUCCAUGGUGUUUUUCAACCACAAGCUUCUCCUGACCUCAGGGCCAAUAAUUCCAGCCCCUUUGGAGACCCGGUGAUCAGAAAAGAGGCUCCGUUCUAAUAUGAUGUCAUGGGUAUGACAGAAGUCUGCUCGAACUCACGGCUGGUCUACUUCAAUAUAUCCUGGGAUAUUAUUGGCUGAAGAAUAGAACAAAAUGGUGGAGCUCGCAUUCCUUUUAUACUUUUCCGUAUUUUAGAGAGAUGUGUCUGCUUCUUGUUGAUACUGACGCCUGUCUGGGAGGACCUCCAGUCGGUAGCUUGGACAAAGCUGGAGGUACAGCACAUGUAAUUCAUAACACAGAAUUCAAUGAAGUCAUAUGAGAGAACGUUUAAUGAGAAGGGAGGUUAUGAUAGUAGUUCUCAAGAAUUUAGGGAAGUGAAGAACAAAAUACUUGGAUGCCCACCAAGCUCCUGGUAUUCUGGGCUUACUGCUACAUGUUUAUUUCUGAAAUGAGAAAUGGGGAGAAGCUUAUUUUAUGAUAUUACAAAGAUUUAGAACCUGGGCCUUUGGGUAAAAAAUAUAAGGACAUAGAGCCUAUUUUUUCUCCUGAUUACCAAUGAGUGGAGAAUUUCAAAAGGGCACAAAGAAGACAAAUUAUCAUCCAUACUUGUACCACACAGGGAUAAAUGUUACAAAAGUUUGUUUAAAAAUGUACACUUUUUGUUAUACAACUGCAGUCAUACAAACUCUGCUACUUUAUAACUUUAUCUUCUAAAAGACGGUAAUCAUUUUCCUCAUGCCAUGAAGUAUUCUUUUAUUAUGUGUUCUACUUUGACAUGAUAUGCCACAUUUUUAAAUUGAAUCUUACAUUUAGGUCGUUAGCAAUGUGUCAGCUCAAGGAUGUCCUUGAGGGGAGUCACAUGAAGGUGGAGGGGUUGGCAUGGAGGAACAUGGUAGAUGAGCAAGUGUUGAGAGAAAAGGGAAAGAUGAGGCCCAGGUGGGAAAAUCAGCUUUCUUCCAACACUUGAAGGCUGGCAUUUGUAAGAGGAGUAAGUCUUGGUCUGUGUCAUCCCCAAAGGGAAGAUUUAGAAAAAGUGGGCAGAAACUGCAGAGAUCAGUUCAUGCUGUGGAAAGAGGGAUUUGGUUAAGAGCAGCCAAAGAAGGUUCAGGCAGUUCAGGACACAGUAAGUUUUCAGCUUGGGAAGAUGCCUAAAUGGAGGUUUAAAAUCACCUCCAAGAAAAUAACAUGCUAAACACAUUUACAGUAGAAAGACUGGAGUGGUGGAGAACGUGGAAGGAGUCAUUUGUUUAUUUUCUUGGAAGGGGAAGGGUCUUGGGUAAGUCUUCAAAAGUGAAAAUUUGAAUGCAGUCUUCUUACUAUUUAUAUCAGGGCCUAAUAUUUAUACAAUGAUUUACAGUUCAUAAAGAUGAUAAAGAAUCCUCUUUUGAGAUGGUGAGACAGAUGCAGAGAGGUUAAGUAAACUGCCCAGACUGCUCCAGCUAGGAGGUAGUUGAGACUAGAUACACCCCCACCUUCUCUGUCCCUAUAACUACUCUUUUUUCCAGUUGCUAUCAUGACUAUUAAGGUCACCCAUCCCUUCUAGAAAGUCCAGACUCACAGGACAUUGCCCAUGCCCUGCUCCACUGCAAGAAAAUGAAAGUGUCCCCAAUGACUAAUGUGAACAGAAUGUCACCGAACAGUUAGCAAGUAAUGUCACUUGUGUGUCACUGCUACCCCACAGCAGCGGCUUCAUGAUUAGGGUUCUGACAAGUAAAGGUGGAAUUCCUUCCCACUCUAACAUCCUAUGAUUUUGUGAUGUCUCAAGUGCCCUCUGCUCAGGACAGGGCAUCAUUCCUUAGGAGUCUGAAUUAAUAUGCCUCAAAAAUUGGCCCUCUGUCUCCUAUAUACCUUCGACCUUGUCAACUCAGGACCCUGGAACAUUGGGCAUCCGCUCUCCACUCUACCUGCCUGGCUGGAAAGCACACAGCCCAGGAAUUUACUCUUGUUGCCAGCAUCCACCCUGAAUCCUUGCCUUCAGCGCAGCCCUUUUGGGCUAGACAAUCUAGGAGGAAACAUCAAGGAGCCCUUUUGGCUACAGGAGGGGUGUAGCACCAUCUUCAGGUGACCAGCUCCCUGCUGGGCUCUGGGGGCACCUCCCCACCUGGCCUUCCUAGCCAAACCGAUUCAGAGGGUCCCACCACAAUGCACCACCCCCUAGGGAAAGGCACCCUCACUCACUACUCCACCAAGGCCCCUGCAGCCCUUCCUCUGGGUUUGCAACCCACCCCGGCAGGUGGCCUCCCAGUCUGCAGGAAGCCUGCAUCCAGGGUGGGAGGGAGAGGGAGGCUGGAAGCAGAUGGCCACCCCCUUUCAAGCCCUGAGAGGAGUGUAUUCCUCUUGCUUUUAACCGUUUACUGGUUUUAGCUGCUGGCCUCCUGGAGCCAGUUCUUGCUGUGGGAUUUCUAUGGUGGCUCCAUUCUCUGGGAAACAUUUUUUGGUACCCAGUAUAUGGCAAGCAUUGGGGUCAAUAAAAGCCAAGAGAGUCAGUUCUCUGGCCUUGAGGAGCUUGCUUUUCUCCUGGCAGAUGGAAAAGGCAAUCUGCUGUGAAGUGGCAGGGAGACUGAAGCCUCUAGGAGGGAUGAGGCCUUCCGGGGGCGGGAACCGCAGUUGGGAAGAAACCCCGAGUGUUCCGAGGGCCUUAACUGGGGGAGUUCUGCCUAGAAAGCCUGAAGGGUCAGACUGUGAAGGGACUGGGUGACAGACUGAUGAGUAGGAUGCUGUCCCCAAGCAGUGAGAGUCCUGUAGAUUUUUCCACAGGUGAUGACGUGAUGCUGAAUUUGAUAAAGAGUCCCUGCAUCCUCAGGGGGGAGGGCAAAGGAGAAAGGAGGCAGGGAGGCUGGGGUGGAGGAGGGGGGCUUUUACUCUUUAUUUUAUGUUUAUCUGUUCUGUAGAUUUUCAAUCCAUGCACUUGAAUUGUUUUUAUUUUAAAAACAAAGUCAUUAUCUGGGCAAUGGGAUUAGUUGCUCCUUUUGUCUUAUUCUUAAUAUUCUUCAUGUUAUAUAUUUAAAAAGGAAAUGUUAUAAAUAAUUUUUGCCUUUGAAAGUCUGGAAUGGACAGACGUAUUUGCUGUCCUUCACGAAUGGACUUUUGGUUAUUUGACCCUUCCCCUUAAGUUGCUAACUGUUGUGUUAAGAAACAAAAUUCAAUCAAGUAAAUUUUAAGAUCUAAGAGUCUUUAGUAAAUGACUCAUGAAGCAGGCAGCAUCUCAUCUAGUAAGUAGAGAGAUACUCUGAAGGGCCAUACAAAGGAGAGGUUUUAUAAAGGCAGGACAAGGAAGUCACAAACAGAAAAAAGUAUUUCGGCCAGCUUACCUCCUUCGGGGACAGAAGAGUCUUAGGUGGAUUCCUUUCGGGAAUGGAGAGGGUACAUGUGACAUACUAUCUUAUCAGUGCUGACUGGAAAAUUCCUGACUUGAGUACAUUUCUGGGGGAAGUUGAAAUUGCAAUUAGGUUAGGUAUUAAACCCCAGUUUGGUGACUUGGCCUAUCAGAAGUAACCCCAUGUUGGGCUGGUGUUUUUCUUUUUAACACAGUGCCUGUAGGUAGAAGGCUAUUAUUUUUAUGUCUCGGAUAUAGAAGUUAAAAUACUUGGCCACACAGAGGUCCUGCCUAGGCCUCUGUCCAGUGGCAAUGCCCAAGCCUGUAGUUUCUCAAACUGUAAAUACCUGGGGUGAGCUGCAAACUACACAAGAACACUGUUUGAGAUAUACCUCUGUAACAGAACUAGCUACAUGGUAAUCACUGACAUUACUGUAUCUCAUCAGUGGAACUGGCUUCCUUCGGCCUUGCUGACUGCAACAAUCUUUCCUCUGGCGCUAGAGAAGUUCCACCCAUUUUAAGAUCACUUCUGUACAAAUCACCGGAUAGUUUCCCCUAAAGUUUUAUGAUUGCCAAUAACCUCAUAUAGGAUGGAGGAAAAUAGGAAGAAAAUAGCAGGAGCUCAUCAUUCAUUUAAAAACAUAAAACA